GCCCUUGUAGUUUUAAUGAUAAAACAGGCCCUUGGUAAGGGUCAGUUUCGGGUUUGACUCCCGAUGAGGGCACCA
rnacentral:tRNA from 1 species